rnacentral:rRNA from 1 species
AGAGUUUGAUCCUGGCUCAGGAUGAACGCUAGCGACAGGCUUAACACAUGCAAGUCGAGGGGCAGCACAGGUAGCAAUACCGGGUGGCGACCGGCGCACGGGUGAGUAACGCGUAUGCAACUUACCUAUCAGAGGGGGAUAACCCGGCGAAAGUCGGACUAAUACCGCAUGAAGCAGGGGCCCCGCAUGGGGAUAUUUGCUAAAGAUUCAUCGCUGAUAGAUAGGCAUGCGUUCCAUUAGGCAGUUGGCGGGGUAACGGCCCACCAAACCGACGAUGGAUAGGGGUUCUGAGAGGAAGGUCCCCCACAUUGGAACUGAGACACGGUCCAAACUCCUACGGGAGGCAGCAGUGAGGAAUAUUGGUCAAUGGGCGAGAGCCUGAACCAGCCAAGUAGCGUGAAGGAUGACUGCCCUAUGGGUUGUAAACUUCUUUUAUAUGGGAAUAAAGUGAGCCACGUGUGGCUUUUUGUAUGUACCAUACGAAUAAGGAUCGGCUAACUCCGUGCCAGCAGCCGCGGUAAUACGGAGGAUCCAAGCGUUAUCCGGAUUUAUUGGGUUUAAAGGGUGCGUAGGCGGUUUGAUAAGUUAGAGGUGAAAUUUCGGGGCUCAACCCUGAACGUGCCUCUAAUACUGUUGAGCUAGAGAGUAGUUGCGGUAGGCGGAAUGUAUGGUGUAGCGGUGAAAUGCUUAGAGAUCAUACAGAACACCGAUUGCGAAGGCAGCUUACCAAACUAUAUCUGACGUUGAGGCACGAAAGCGUGGGGAGCAAACAGGAUUAGAUACCCUGGUAGUCCACGCAGUAAACGAUGAUAACUCGUUGUCGGCGAUACACAGUCGGUGACUAAGCGAAAGCGAUAAGUUAUCCACCUGGGGAGUACGUUCGCAAGAAUGAAACUCAAAGGAAUUGACGGGGGCCCGCACAAGCGGAGGAACAUGUG